UAACAAAUGUCCACACAUGCAUGCUUACAUCUCUCCUGUGCACUUUCUUUAUAGGAUUCUUCCAGAAAUGGCUUCCUAGCAUCCUUCACAAGGAGAGAGACACCAUCUGCCCUGUAGCAUCCUCCACAUGGAGGUGCUUUGUGAGUCAUUUGAAACAACAAAAAGCCCAUAAUUGUCUGUAUCCAGUGCCAGAGGUCAAGCCAAUUCAACUAGCAUUUAUUAAGCACCUACUAUGUGCCAGCCACUGUGCUAAGUGCCUGGGAUGCAAGAAAGACAAAAACAAUCCCUGCUCUCAAGGAACUGAAAAUCUCAUGGGGAAGACGGCUUGCCAGACCAUGUUUCUGAACUUUAAAGAAUAAAUUAAAAGUAGAUGCCAAAUGGGGUAGUGGUGAGUUUUCAACAAUGUUUUAACUUCAUUGUUUGUAGGUACUUUCUCCCAAGGUUCAGAAUUCCUCCCCCCCCCUUCUACCACUAUACCCUCUUUUUAAUCUGUGGUCUUUGGUAUUCAAAAUGUUGGUGGGGGGGAACUGAAGGAGGAAGUAUAUACCUUUCUAGACAACAUCUAAUAUUUGUCUAACUGGGCCUGCUACAUUACCCUUUUCUCCGAAUAUCACACACACACACACAGACACACACACACACACACACACACACACAAACACACACACACACACACACAUAUCCCUGUAUACAACAUUGCAGUCAUAGCUGGGUAGGCAUUCAGUGCCGCCUAAAGAAUAAUGCCAAGGCAGAGAAAAUGUGAUCAUCUAAUGAUGUUACAGAACUUUACAAAAUAAUUUCUCCUUUAAUUGGUGUUCAAGCUUAGUCAUAGCAUAGUCUGAUGUAAUUAUGCUUAAAUGGAAGUGAAGAUACUAUGAGAUUAACUAGCUAGUGUUUACAAAUUGUUUCAAGUUUCUUCAAGAAAGAUUUUUUUUUCCCCUCAGACUUGUGAUUUCAUCUUCACGAUGAAGUCUUGACAGGGAAACUCCCUCCAACAAAGCAGAUCAGCAAGUCAUCUGUAACUUAUAAUCAAUCUUAGAGAAUUGCCUGGGGUACCAAGAGGUUAAGCCACUUGCCCCAUGGUCACACAGGUAGUAAGUGUCGAAGGACCUGAAUCCAGGUUUCACUGAUUCUAAGACCGGCCUCCUAUCCUGUCUGUCUAGAAAAAAAGUUAGUCAAUAAAUAUUUAAUGUAUAAGUUCUUUCA
rnacentral:lncRNA from 1 species